GACCGAUGUGGCUGAGUGGUAGAGUACGUGACUCUGAGUCAUCAGGUCUUUGGUUCGAGACCAGCCACGGGCU